rnacentral:sRNA from 1 species
AGAGGUUGUCUGAAGGCCGAGGGCAAGAUGGCGGCGCUGUCAGCUCCUGGCCUGCGCAGCUUCUGGAUCCUUGGUCUUCGCUCCAGCGUGGGCACAGCUGUGCAGGCACAAGGUGUUCAUCAGAGCGUGGCCACCGAUGGCCCAAGCAGCACCCAGCCUGCCCUGCCAAAGGCCAGAGCCGUGGCUCCCAAACCCAGCAGCCGGGGCGAGUAUGUGGUGGCCAAGCUGGAUGACCUCAUCAACUGGGCCCGCCGGAGUUCUCUGUGGCCCAUGACCUUCGGCCUGGCCUGCUGCGCCGUGGAGAUGAUGCACAUGGCCGCACCCCGCUACGACAUGGACCGCUUCGGCGUGGUCUUCCGCGCCAGCCCGCGCCAGUCCGACGUCAUGAUCGUGGCCGGCACACUCACCAACAAGAUGGCCCCAGCGCUUCGCAAGGUAGGCCUCGUCCCCGCCGCCCAGCCGCCCCCAGAGUGAGCUGCGCACGGACCCCGUCUCUCUUCCAGGUCUACGACCAGAUGCCGGAGCCGCGCUACGUGGUCUCCAUGGGGAGCUGCGCCAACGGAGGAGGCUACUACCACUACUCAUACUCGGUGGUGAGGGGCUGCGACCGCAUCGUGCCUGUGGACAUCUACAUCCCAGGUAGGGCCGGGACCGCACCGCCCACGAGGGAGCUGGGGACAGGGCCAGCGCCACACGGAGCCCGGCGGCCCCUGUGAGGGAGUCCCACACCCCAAGCAGACGGCGGGCUCCCCCAUCCUGUGGAUGGGCCGACUCGGGGCUCUCCCUCUUAGUGGAGCGUGUCCCCUAUGAGAAGUCAGCGAUGUAUUCAGGCAUCAGAGGGAUCAGAGGGAGGAGGGGAGGCGGAGUGGAAUUCCUGACACUCGCCUGGUUUACAGCAGUUUCAUAUGGUCCUGCCUGACAGAAACCAAAGACCUGCAGUUAGAAAUACCAAGAGAGAAGGUUCCUGGAGGCCAAGACACUAUCCCGCGCCCUCAGCCUUACAGAAGGGCACGAGGACUCCCUGGGACCCGGGGUGGCCGGAUUUGGCACAUGAAAACGUAGGAGGCUUAGUUUGACAGUGAGGUUAGGGUGAAUUUGACCAUCAGGAAAACAAUUAGUAGUAAUUGUUUAGUACGAGUAUAUCCCAACAAUAUUUGGGCUAUACUGACACUAAAAAGAGCAUU